ACACCGUCUUUCUGAGCUGGCGGAAGACGCUCGUGCUCAUUUCGAGGCAAGUAAAGUAAAUUUAGCGGGUUUGUUUUGAUUGAGUCUUUUUGCGUUGAUGGGACGUUGAUUUACACUGCGUUGAUUUCAGCUAACUGCAGUUACCGUUUACCGUCGACUUUACAAUGUGUUUCAUUGUUACUUCACUUGGCCGCCUGGUCUCCACUCUGCAGCAAGAGUCUGGCGCUAGAAGCUUUUAUCUACUGAAGAGUGAACAGCGCUCGUUAGAGGCCGUGCCCAGCUGCGCUUCACCGUCCUUGGGCCUCCUCCUGCCUGAAGCUCAUUGCAUAUCCGAGGGAUGCGAGCAGCGAACCUCCUGCGGCCCUGAACCACAGCCAGGUCAUCUCUGAACCUCCGCUUGAAAAACACAUUUCCCACAGGCUCUCGCUGCCCCCCUCCACCCCCACCCCUGCUGUGUGCUGGAAGGAUUAUCUAUCGAGAAGACAACAGCUCUCACUCCCGGGUUCCUUCAGCCAGCCGCCAUCUGACAGGCAGGACGGCCCGACUCUUUACAUGGCCAGUUGGGCCCAGCAAGAGUCCUUUUUUCAUUCUCAAGGCCUCUCUCUCUCUCUCUCAUGAUUUCCACCACCUCUCCCUCCCUUAUCCCCGGUCUCUGAUGGUUGAGGAAGUGCUCAUUUGUGGGUAUCCAGGUUAAGUGGCCAACCGCAGCGUCCCAUCAGAGAGCCUGAUGCCUUCCAGCCAUAUCACACAGUAAUUUCUUAAGCACUUAUUUCCACACUGGCUUGUGUUCUCUGCAGAGGCCUCCACCAAACUGUAAUUAGAGCCAAAUGGCUGAGAGCAGACAUGCUGAUCUGCAGGUAUAACCCAAUAAAAUAUGAUCUCAAGUUUACUGCCUUUUGUUGCCACACAAUAAUUAAGGGUAGUGUAGUACACAGACCAUAAGUAUAUUCAUAUACAACAAAACUACUUAAAGUUGAUUUAAUAAAAUGUUAUGGUUAGAUGACACUGACACGUAUUUCCUUUUCUAGCACAUGAGAAGAUUGACACAACUCAGGAGAGUGUUAGCUAUAAGAUAAAAAUUGAAAGCAUGGGGAAACGGUUUCUGAAGAGAACACCUUGAUCUCACUAAUUAACAUGAUAGACAUCCUUUGUUUAAUCCAUACAAAGACCAAAGUGUCAAAAUGACACGUUUUUAUGGUUUAUUAUAUGACAUUAUUAUGAGUUGAAGUAUUUCUCAUUCACAGGCCACACAAUUUUGACCUCUGGCUCUUCUUGUCAAACAGUUUCUGGCUCCCGUUUAAAUGGUCAUGCUGGAUUGGUGUCCCUGCGGUCAGCCAGCGGGUUAAUGCUGGAUGUGGCUCUGCCCCGACUGCCAGCCAAAGCCUUUUUAAGAAGGCUUUUUGUAGAACAAGGCAUAAAACCAGAUUAUGAAACGACAAUAAAUCAAUCCCUUAUGCUCAUUUCAUAAAACACUGUAUAUAAAGCUUAUGGGGGAAGAAAUCGGUUUAACUGGUCCAGUGUGUUGUGUUCGCGUUGAGAUGCGGGCUCACGGCUGAUGAGUUAGGGUGGGGACAAUGGAUAAAUGGAAGUUUAACCAAUAAUCAGUGGUGUUUGUGCUGUAUGUGUGUGCACACACUUGCGCACACAGUUGUAUUUGACGUCACUGCAGCUCACUGAUCAGAUAUUCGGCAGGGGAAGCAGCACUUUCAGAGGUGUUUGAAACAGAGCUUCUGUUGAGCACCCAUUAUUCUGAUUAAAGAGGAGUGCAACUCCACAGUGACUUAAGCUCAACAGAUGAGCCUCAAUUCUCUAAAUGUUUGAAUCCAGAUGACCCGCAGAUGCUUUAAAGCAGAUUUCACAACAACAGACAGAUGUUGGAUGUUGAGAGGUAGGAGUUAGUGCAGGGGGGGAACAGUUAUCACACCGGCUGAGGUUCUUUCCCGUCGCUUUAAUUGAGAAAAGACUUCGAGCUGUUUCUAAGUGCUUCUAAAUCAGAUAUACCAGACAGAGAAAAUCAACUUCUCCGUGUAAGUGUGUGCUGCUUUGUGAGGCUGAUAUGGACCAGAGAGGAUUACUCCUGGAUGGGAGGCUGGCUUUGGGAGGACUAUGAAGAUGGGAAUAUAGACUUCCCUAGGCUACUUUAUAGGAUCAUGACAGUCAAAUAGUGGAUGGAAGUCAUUCGUGUGCAGCGUGCAGAGAUUCUUAAAAGGGGAAUAUGACUGAAUUUCACAGUUUUACACUUUAUUUCUCAGCCUUAGACUUAGUUUUAGUAAAACAUUUCACACUGUUCUACUGGCUACCAAACUGUAUCACUCAAAGGACAAUCAAUUACAACAAGGUAGAACGGUGACUGUAGCAUUUUCUAAUUCAGCAAAGGGCUGAUUAACUUUUUUGUACUUUAAAAGUACAGUAUGAGUUUGUUUUAUAAUCUUCUGAGGUACUGUUUGAUCGGCCCCAAGGUCAUAAGGUCAACGUACACUAACUGUGAAAAUGAGUGGACUCUCUCCUUAAGGGAAAAAUCAAACAUAAAGUGUUUUCGACAGUGUACAUUGCAUCUCUGGACCUGUUGCUCGUAGUGAAUUUUUCCUGUUCCAGCUGUUCUCGCUGAACAUUGUGCAGAUCAGUGUGAAAACUUUGCGAUUUGGCAGCUAACAUUUGUUUUGAUUGUGUGUGAUUUUUUUUUUUAAAUCGAUUUGAUCUCUUAAAGCACAUUUACAUUUACAGUUGCAAAUUAGUAGUAUAUAAAUGUAAUUUCUAGGAAAUGUUUACCUGAGAAUGAACAUACUAACAUCCCUACUAACUCUCUGUUGAUGGCAAAUUAGAUUUCAACCAUGUAAAAUGUCAGUGGUUCUACUGUUGGUCUCUGUGUUGAAGAUCAGGGGCAUCUUGACCGCCAUAUUGUACUGAUGUCAAACUGAGAGACAUUUAUCAUACGGACACCAAUCUCUGCACUGAUAGAAGUCUCAAUAGACCAGAAAGGAAUGUCACCUGCACAUCUGUAGACCUGUGAUAUAACAUCAACACUUUAUGUAAAGAAAAAAGAUUGUUCUCAUUGUUUUCUCCCUACACAUCCCCAUAUGCAGAACGUAUGUAGCACCACAAACUGUGGGCAAAAUAAAUGUGACAGAAUCCCAAAUGCCCAACAUUUAAAUUAAAAUCAAUUUUUACAUCCACAGACUCAUAUUUUGUCAUUGUUUUCUAGAUACACUAUAAGCAACAUGAAUAGGAUUUAAAGCCAUUAACUGAGCAAAGAAAACCAGAGUCAGCCUGUGUGUGUGACUCUACUGUAGGUUACUGGUAGUCCCAGUCCCAGCCCUUUCCCUGGGUGAUAGUUAAUUACCCUGGAUAAAUCCAUUGGCAAUUUGUCAGGCUGUUCCAGUAUGGCCCCGCCCCCCAAAAAGAAAAAAAAAAAAAACCCAGCCACUUCCCUCCUCUCUUCUUCCUCGUUCUAAGCUCAUGUAAUGAAUCACUAAUCACUCCAUCCCUGACGAGCAUCUCCAGCCUAUUAUCUCUUAAUUACCCCAUUCAAGGAGGCAUCAGCACAGGCCAGCAGGGGGCGUGCCAUCAAACAAAUACAAGGAAUACGACGCAAGUGAGCCCAAUCAGUUUGUGCUCCGCGAUGUAUAUUAAAUUAACACUGCCUGAACUUUAUUGUGUGUGGAUCAGGAGAGCGUAUUUACUGUCAGGUGGUGAAUUAUGUACGGCACCAUGUUUCUGUUCGUAUACCUGAGAGAGGGCAAGCGAGCCACUGAAGGCCCCCUGGCUGUGGUGGUUUAUGUACGCAGAGCCAGAACAAACUGGCUUGUUCUCAAUCUCUGCUCGGCUCUCUGACCGCCGGGCUCCAAAUGGUCCUCUUGUGGAGCAUUUGGGCUGUGGCAGAAAAUGGAGCCUCUAACUCACAGUCAUUUGCAGAUGCAACACGCGAGUUGCCACAGAUCAGAGAUAGAAAUUGGAAUUGGCAGCAGACAUGAAAUGGGGUCAGGGGAUUUGUCCCCGACACACACACACACACACACACACGCACACACACACACACACGCACACAUACGCACACACAGAACAUGUGAGUUUCAGGGUACUCUGAUUUACAAGGGGAGGGGGUCUGUUCAAACAAUGGAGCCGCAGAUGAACUGUAGCUUACAGAGUCUCAGUAACAGACUUAGAAUAAAAAGCCUAAUUUGUAGCUGUCAUUCACUGUCUUUUGAAGAAUUCCCACACAUGAAAUUAAGUAAAUCCUCGCUGACUUGCAUUUUCUUGAAAGUAAAUGUGGCUUGGACACAGGUCGGGGUCACCCAGUAUGUGUGAUGGAGCAUUUUUUUCUAAGUGGUGUGUGAGGCAGAAAAGACAAAUUCCCAUACUCCCUUUUCCCAGUCUGAGAAAAGAGUAAAGAAUAGGUUCAAGAUCACACGGUUGUCGCUUGUUUACAUCAACCGAGUAAACCAAGAGCUGUUUUUUUUAUAGCGUCCAAAACUGACAGGUGCCCCCUGCCAAGUCCUCUUAAUAGUUAAGGUUUCUGAAUUUAAUCUCACUAAUUUCGACAUAUCCCUCUAAGGAUCUUUAAGCUUAACUUUAGAAAAAAAAAAAGACCCUGUACAGCCCUUUCUGGAAUCCCGGUGUCCGUUUUUUUGUCAACCCUUUAGUGAAAGCCUGUCAAAAGUGGUUAGCUUCUCCAGUGAAACUACUUCUUUGCAUCCUAGCUCCCGGUCUUGCCCUGUGUCUGCACAAUUUCUCUCUAUCCUCUUGUUUCUCUCCUUUUGUUUAGAUAAAGCGAGGGAUUAGGAAAGAUUUGCCCCCAUAAAGUAGUGGUUUGAUGGGCUUUUAUCCCACCAUGUUGCUAAAGCUGUGUAGCCCCUGGAUUAGGCCCUGACAAUAGGAACCCUUGUGCUGGGCCGCAGCCUGAGGGCCACAACCAAAGACCGGCUCUGAGAAAGAGGGAGGAAACAAACCUGCCAACCUCGAUAUGUCAAGUCUGCCAGAGAAACCGUUCAGAGGAGCGGCCCUGGCUGCGGCAUGGUGUGCUGCGUCUACAGGAUCAUACAGGGAUAAACAAUAGCGAGAGUGAACAACGUGUGGUCAGCCUCACAAAUGGAGAAUUACUGUGUCUCUGUCCCAAUUACUAUAUUCUUUCAACACCAAUAUCUACCAAAAUGCUCUAAAAAGUUGUAAAGGCAUUUAUUUAAAGGGGACCCGGUUUUACACAUCAAAGUCUGUUUAUGGGAGUAGCUAGUACUUCAUAUGUGGAAAAAAAAAAAAAGUUGCAUAAAGUCUUUUGUGGCUCCAGAGGGAGCAACGUGAAAUCUGAUAAAUUGCUUCAAGUGGAUGAAACAAAUCUGCUGGUGUGGAGUUAGGAAGAAGUUAGUUUACCAGAACUCUGUAACCUGCUAAUCAUCGGUCUUUGAUGCUAGCUACGUUAGGCUAGGCUACAUUAGCUGAUUCUAGCAU